GUGCUAUCAUGCAGUCGUACGCUUCUUUUUCCACGGAGCUUGCUCCCACCGGAAAAAGAGGAGUGGCGAACGGGUGAGUAACACGUGGGUAACCUGCCCAUCAGAAGGGGAUAACACUUGGAAACAGGUGCUAAUACCGUAUAACAAUCGAAACCGCAUGGUUUUGAUUUGAAAGGCGCUUUCGGGUGUCGCUGAUGGAUGGACCCGCGGUGCAUUAGCUAGUUGGUGAGGUAACGGCUCACCAAGGCCACGAUGCAUAGCCGACCUGAGAGGGUGAUCGGCCACAUUGGGACUGAGACACGGCCCAAACUCCUACGGGAGGCAGCAGUAGGGAAUCUUCGGCAAUGGACGAAAGUCUGACCGAGCAACGCCGCGUGAGUGAAGAAGGUUUUCGGAUCGUAAAACUCUGUUGUUAGAGAAGAACAAGGAUGAGAGUAACUGUUCAUCCCUUGACGGUAUCUAACCAGAAAGCCACGGCUAACUACGUGCCAGCAGCCGCGGUAAUACGUAGGUGGCAAGCGUUGUCCGGAUUUAUUGGGCGUAAAGCGAGCGCAGGCGGUUUCUUAAGUCUGAUGUGAAAGCCCCCGGCUCAACCGGGGAGGGUCAUUGGAAACUGGGAGACUUGAGUGCAGAAGAGGAGAGUGGAAUUCCAUGUGUAGCGGUGAAAUGCGUAGAUAUAUGGAGGAACACCAGUGGCGAAGGCGGCUCUCUGGUCUGUAACUGACGCUGAGGCUCGAAAGCGUGGGGAGCAAACAGGAUUAGAUACCCUGGUAGUCCACGCCGUAAACGAUGAGUGCUAAGUGUUUGGAGGGUUUCCGCCCUUCAGUGCUGCAGCUAACGCAUUAAGCACUCCGCCUGG
rnacentral:rRNA from 1 species